rnacentral:rRNA from 1 species
GGACAAUGGGCGCAAGCCUGAUCCAGCCAUACCGCGUGGGUGAAGAAGGCCUUCGGGUUGUAAAGCCCUUUUGUUGGGAAAGAAAUCCUGUCGGUUAAUAACCGGUGGGGAUGACGGUACCCAAAGAAUAAGCACCGGCUAACUUCGUGCCAGCAGCCGCGGUAAUACGAAGGGUGCAAGCGUUACUCGGAAUUACUGGGCGUAAAGCGUGCGUAGGUGGUGGUUUAAGUCUGCUGUGAAAGCCCUGGGCUCAACCUGGGAAUUGCAGUGGAUACUGGGUCACUAGAGUGUGGUAGAGGGAUGCGGAAUUUCCGGUGUAGCAGUGAAAUGCGUAGAGAUCGGAAGGAACAUCCGUGGCGAAGGCGGCAUCCUGGGCCAACACUGACACUGAGGCACGAAAGCGUGGGGAGCAAACAGGAUUAGAUACCCUGGUAGUCCACGCCCUAAACGAUGCGAACUGGAUGUUGGGUGCAACUUGGCACCCAGUAUCGAAGCUAACGCGUUAAGUUCGCCGCCUGGGGAGUACGGUCGCAAGACUGAAACUCAAAGGAA